GGCGGUAUCGUCUAGGGGUCAGGACAGGUGAUUCUCAGUCAUCAGACCGGGGUUCGAUUCCCCGUACCGCUG
rnacentral:tRNA from 1 species